rnacentral:lncRNA from 1 species
CAGGUAUCCAUGCAUGUUGCCAACCAACAGCUCUUAUCUUGGGGUGGCUUGGCUGUCAACCAGGCCAGGGGAGCUGACUGCUGGAGGCCUCAUCUCAGAAGCAAAGAAAAGCAUCGUGUCCUUGCUCUAGUGUUUUCCAAGGACUCUAGUAAGUGCCUGAUAUGGUUUGGCUGUGUCCCCACUCAAAUCUCAUCUUGAAUUCCCACAUGUUGUGGGAGGGACCCAGUGGGAGGUAGUUGAAUCAUGGGGACAAGUCUUUCCCGUGCUGUUCUUGUGAUAGUGAAUAAGUCUCACGAGAUCUUAUGGUUUUAUAAAGAGGAGUUCCCCUGCACAAGUUCUCUCUCUUUGCUUGCUCCUAUUUAUAUAAGAGAUGACGUGCUCCUCCUUGCCUUCCACCAUGAUUGUGAGGCCUCCCCAGCCCUGCGGAACUGGCUUCCACAACAAGUUACCAAACCCUGGGUGGCUUAAAACAACAGGAUUUCAGGUUCUCGUCAUCUGGAGGUCUGAAGUCUGGAGUCAAGGAAUCAGCACGGCUCUGCUCACUCCGAAGGCUCCAGGAGAGAACCUUUCUUUGCUUCUUCCAGCAUCUGGUGGCUGCAGGCAUUCCCUGGAUUGUGGCAAAGUGUGUGGUGCAACAGCAGAGUGGAAAGAGAAUGUGUGGAUCAGACAUACCUGGGUGGAAACUGACUUUACCAACGACUGGCUGGCUGCAAGACCUUGGCGAUUAUCCUUAACCUAGCCUCAGUCUCAACCUGUGACACGGCAAUGGCAGCUUAGAGAGGUUAAGCUACUUGAGUCACACCCGUGUCAGGUGGAGGAGCUGAACCUUGGAUGCAGGAGUAUCCGUUUCUACUGUCUCAACUCUUCCUAACUGCUUUGGAAUGACAGAAUGAGGAAAUGCACCCAACGUGAAUUUUGCGUUCACCAUUACCUGCAAAAUGUCAGUGGCUAAUGCCAGCUUUGGCUGACUGUCCUGAUAUCCAGAGCAAUGGUUCCUAAAUUUUGGUCCACGGUCCAGUGCCAGCUUAGGACCAAGGAUUCACAGUCUUUGAUGUGAGGAAAAUAAGAACAUAAAAUUGGCCAGGCGUGGUGGCUCACGGCUGUAAUCCCAACAAUUUGGGAGGCCCAGGCGGGCAGAUCACCUGAGGUUGGGAAUUCAAGACCAGCCUGACCAACAUGGUGAAACCCCAUCUCUACUAAAAAUACAAAAACUAGCUGCGCAUGGUCGCGCAUGCCUGUAAUCCCAGCUACUCAGGAGGCUGAGGCAGGAGACUCACUUGAACCCGGGAGAUGGAGGUUGCAGUGAGCUGAGAUCACACCACUGCACUCCAGCCUGGGUGACAGAGCGAGACUCCAUCUCAAAACAAACAAACAAACAAACAACAAACAAAAAACCCAUAAAAUUAAAUGUAUUAAAUUAAAGAACUGCCUUAACUAUGAGAUCAUGUUCAUUCAUUUUUGAGAGUCAAGUGACCCUUCCUUUCAUGAAAUAAUGGUGAUACCCUGAGGUCAGGAGUUCAAGACCAGCCUGGCCAACAUGGUGAAACCCUGUCUCUACUAAAAAUACAGAAAUUAGCCGUAUGUGGUGGCAGGUGCCUGUAAUCGCAGCUACUCGGGAGGCUGAGGCAGGAGAAUCUCUUGAACCUGGGAGAGGGGCUGUUGCAGUGAGCCAAGAUCACACCACUGCACUCCAGCCUAGGCAACAGAGCGAAACUCCAUCUCAAAAAUAAAUAAAUAAAUAAAUAAAUGAAAUAAUGGUGAUAGGAAUUCGUAGUUUUGUUGUUGUUGUUAUUUUUGUUUUUAAGUGCUCUUACUUGGCAAAAUAAACUUAUCAUACUGAGUUGAAAUCCCACUUUUUUUAGAUUGCUGUGGAAUCCCAAUGCCUGAGAAUGAUUGCUAUGGAGAAAGGAGGAAGUAAUAAAGUCCUGGGCCUCUGAGAGCAAAUAGGGAGGUGCCUUUAAUGGAUGAUUUUAGUGGAGACUGCAAUAAAAAUUCCUGUUCAUAAAUAUCACCUUUUCCACUGUGCCCAGCUUACUUUGAGUAGCCCUUGAAAAUAGGACCUAAAAUUCAU